rnacentral:rRNA from 1 species
GGACAACCUGCCCUCGGGAGGGGGAUAACCCCGGGAAACUGGGGCUAAACCCCCAUAGGGGAUGGAUACUGGAAUGUUCCAUCUCCGAAAGUCCGCAAGGAGCCCGAGGAUGGGUCUGCGGCGGAUUAGGUAGUUGGUGGGGUAACGGCCCACCAAGCCUAAGAUCCGUACGGGCCAUGGGAGUGGGAGCCCGGAGAUGGACCCUGAGACAAGGGUCCAGGCCCUACGGGGCGCAGCAGGCGCGAAACCUCCGCAAUGCGGGAAACCGCGACGGGGUCAGCCGGAGUGCCGAUGCUUGCAUCGGCUGUCGGGGAGCCUAAAAAGCCCUCCAAGCAAGGGCCGGGCAAGGCCGGUGGCAGCCGCCGCGGUAAUACCGGCGGCCCGAGUGGCGGUCACUAUUAUUGGGCUUAAAGCGUCCGUAGCCGGGUUGGUUAGUCUCCCGGGAAAUCUGGCCGCUCAACGGUCAGAAUUCCGGGAGAUACUGCCAGCCUAGGGACCGGGAGAGGCCGAGGGUAUUCCCGGAGUAGGGGUGAAAUCCUAUAAUCCCGGGAGGACCACCUGUGGCGAAGGCGCUCGGCUGGAACGGGUCCGACGGUGAGGGACGAAGGCCAGGGGAGCAAACCGGAUUAGAUACCCGGGUAGUCCUGGCUGUAAACGAUGCGGACUUUGUGUCGGACAAGCUAUGAGCUUGUCCGGUGCCGGAGGGAAACCGUU